UGUAGAAAAAAAUCGCCGUCGGAUUGCCGUCGAAGGAAAACUGUCAAGCUGUAUUGUUUACUUCUUAUUCCACUCUUAAAACUGUUCAAAGCUUACAAUUAAUUUAUAAAAGUCGAGUGAGAGUGAAAUUAAGUUUACAGAACAGCAAUGCACAUAAAAAGGACAACUUCGAUGGACCCAGAACUGCGCACCAAAAUCGAUACCGCUUGCCGGAUGGAGGAGGAAUUCAUCAAUCUGUACAACGAAAAAGUAGCCAAGAAGCGGCAUCAGAUGACCCGGCUCUACAUGGACAACGGUUUGCUGAUGUCAUCAGCAACAUCCAGAAGUACUUCCAGGAACUGCCCCGCUUUGAACACAUUAUGAACACCCUGGUCACUCAGCCGAUCAUUGGCGACGCUGUGUCCUCGCAGCUGACGUUCAUCAUCAAGGUUUCGGGAACGGUCAUCUACCAGGACAAUUCUACCAAACCCUUCCAGAAGACAUUCACGGUUACAGCCCAGGGCGACAAGUGGAAGAUUGCGAGUGAUUGCAGCGCUGCUUCCGGUUGUUGGAUGCUAUCUUUUUAGGGAAUCGAUCAAUACAUGGAUGCAUUGGAAAGCGAUA